rnacentral:rRNA from 1 species
CCUACGGGCGGCUGCAGUGGGGAAUAUUGGACAAUGGGCGAAAGCCUGAUCCAGCCAUGCCGCGUGUGUGAAGAAGGCCUUCGGGUUGUAAAGCACUUUCAGUGGGGAAGAAAGCCUUGGGGCUAAUACCCUCGAGGAAGGACAUCACCCACAGAAGAAGCACCGGCUAACUCCGUGCCAGCAGCCGCGGUAAUACGGAGGGUGCGAGCGUUAAUCGGAAUUACUGGGCGUAAAGCGCGCGUAGGCGGUCUGAUAAGCCGGUUGUGAAAGCCCCGGGCUCAACCUGGGAACGGCAUCCGGAACUGUCAGGAUAGAGUGCAGGAGAGGAAGGUAGAAUUCCCGGGGUAGCGGUGAAAUGCGGAGAGAUCGGGAGGAAUACCAGUGGCGAAGGCGGCCUUCUGGACUGAAACUGACGCUGAGGUGCGAAAGCGUGGGUAGCAAACAGGAUUAGAUACCCUGGUAGUC